AGUGAACGCUGGCGGUAGGCCUAACACAUGCAAGUCGAACGGCAGCACAGUAAGAGCUUGCUCUUACGGGUGGCGAGUGGCGGACGGGUGAGGAAUACAUCGGAAUCUACUUUUUCGUGGGGGAUAACGUAGGGAAACCUACGCUAAUACCGCAUACGACCUACGGGUGAAAGCAGGGGAUCUUCGGACCUUGCGCGAUUGAAUGAGCCGAUGUCGGAUUAGCUAGUUGGCGGGGUAAAGGCCCACCAAGGCGACGAUCCGUAGCUGGUCUGAGAGGAUGAUCAGCCACACUGGAACUGAGACACGGUCCAGACUCCUACGGGAGGCAGCAGUGGGGAAUAUUGGACAAUGGGCGCAAGCCUGAUCCAGCCAUACUGCGUGGGUGAAGAAGGCCUUCGGGUUGUAAAGCCCUUUUGUUGGGAAAGAAAAGCAGCAGGUUAAUACCCCGCUGUUCUGACGGUACCCAAAGAAUAAGCACCGGCUAACUUCGUG
rnacentral:rRNA from 1 species